UAAUCAGUGCUUUAUCACAGGACCUCCCUUU
rnacentral:piRNA from 1 species